rnacentral:rRNA from 1 species
AGUGAACGCUGGCGGUAGGCCUAACACAUGCAAGUCGAACGGCAGCACAGUAAGAGCUUGCUCUUACGGGUGGCGAGUGGCGGACGGGUGAGGAAUACAUCGGAAUCUACCUUUUCGUGGGGGAUAACGUAGGGAAACUUACGCUAAUACCGCAUACGACCUACGGGUGAAAGCAGGGGAUCUUCGGACCUUGCGCGAUUGAAUGAGCCGAUGUCGGAUUAGCUAGUUGGCGGGGUAAAGGCCCACCAAGGCGACGAUCCGUAGCUGGUCUGAGAGGAUGAUCAGCCACACUGGAACUGAGACACGGUCCAGACUCCUACGGGAGGCAGCAGUGGGGAAUAUUGGACAAAGGGCGCAAGCCUGAUCCAGCCAUACCGCGUGGGUGAAGAAGGCCUUCGGGUUGUAAAGCCCUUUUGUUGGGAAAGAAAAGCAGCAGGUUAAUACCCCGCUGUUCUGACGGUACCCAAAGAAUAAGCGCCGGCUAACUUCGUG